UGGGAACGCGAAGAACCUUACCAGGUCUUGACAUCUAUCGAAACCCUAAGAGAUUAGGGCGUGCCCUUCGGGGAACGGUAAGACAGGUGGUGCAUGGUUGUCGUCAGCUCGUGUCGUGAGAUGUUGGGUUAAGUCCCGCAACGAGCGCAACCCUUACUGUUAGUUGCUACGCAAGAGCACUCUAGCAGGACUGCCGUUGACAAAACGGAGGAAGGUGGGGACGACGUCAAAUCAUCAUGCCCCUUAUGACCUGGGCUACACACGUACUACAAUGGUCGUUAACAGAGAGAAGCAAGCCCGCGAGGUGGAGCGAAACCCGAAAACGGUCUCAGUUCGGAUCGCAGGCUGCAACCCGCCUGCGUGAAGCUGGAAUUGCUAGUAAUCGCGGAUCAGCAUGCCGCGGUGAAUACGUUCCCGGGUCUUGUACACACCG
rnacentral:rRNA from 1 species